rnacentral:rRNA from 1 species
UACGGAGGGUGCAAGCGUUGUCCGGAAUUAUUGGGCGUAAAGAGCUCGUAGGCGGUUUGUUGCGUCGGCUGUGAAAUCCCGAGGCUCAACCUCGGGUCUGCAGUCGAUACGAGCAAACUAGAGUGUUGCAGGGGAGACUGGAAUUCCUGGUGUAGCGGUGAAAUGCGCAGAUAUCAGGAGGAACACCGGUGGCGAAGGCGGGUCUCUGGGCAACAACUGACGCUGAGGAGCGAAAGCGUGGUGAGCGAACAGG